AUUUGGUAUUGUUGACAUUUGAAAUACCUUGUACGUGAGGUGACGAGUGUGUACUUGUGCUAAUUGUUGAAAAUCCGUUUUUAUUAAGUAACUAUAUCUGUGUUUCCUUUUCUGUUUAUACUACUCGCAAUUUAAGCCUACAUUAGCUUAAGAAAGCAUGUCUAAUUGACUUAAUUGUUUUACUUGCUCAAACUGCUUUAUUCGAAUUAUGUGCAGCGUGCUAGGUUAGAAGUACUCAUGUCCUUUCUGUGCAUGUUUUUCAUGUACAGAUCCAGGUACUUCCACUUAGUCUUAUCAUCCUUGAGGCGAGACACUUUUAUAGAGACUUCGAGGUAUAUCUGUCGCGUCCGCAGACCGAGGGGUCCCUUUCUAUUUUCUAUACUAGUAUAGCCCUUCUGUAUUUUUCCUUUUGAUAGACAUUCCUGGAGUUAGAGCUUUUUAUGUAUCUCUUAGCUUGUGAUUCAUGGGAUUCCAGAUUUUGGGAGUAUUAGGUUGAGAUUCUUUUACUGUUAUAUGCCAGACGACAUCUUUAACACUGUUUCAUUUUGUUAUCUCGAUUUUUAAUUAUUUUCUUUCCGCAAUUGUUCUUUUUUUUCCCGCAUUUGUUAGGCUUACCUAGUCGUAAAGACUAGGUGCCGUCACGAUAGUUCACGGAGGGCAAACUGGGGUCGUGACACAACCAAGUCACCAGUUUUGGUCGAGUCAUUUCGAUUCAUUGAUUUCAGCCUGGCCAAAUCGGUAUGUGGCUGAACAUCUACCUGGCCCAUAGGUUAUAUACCUGAAGUUGUGAACUAUCUGCUGCCUCACUUUCGAAGUUGUGUGAUCAUGAGUUUCAAAUUUUGAUUUUCUAUCUCUGUUCUAUUCUGUUAUGUUGUCUUUAAGUAGGUUGAAGUUUGGUAUUAAAUGAAUGUAAUAAACACACCAUGCAUAUAUUGGAAAGUCUGUAAUGAUGUCGAGUGUUAGUUUGAAUAUGUGACUGUUAGUUAGAAUUGCUUCAUGAUAUAUGUUUGAGUCGAAUGUAACCCUGAUAUUUAGUUGUGAUGCUCAAGUUGGAGUUGUUUAAAAGAGUUUUUAGGUGGAGUAUUUGAAGAGCUUCUCAGAUUUGAAGCUUUAAAAAAUAAUGAUGCCCUUGCAUAAUAUUUACUGUCAGAUCUGAAGGCUGGUUGAAACUCAUUUAAUUUCAUGUGGAUAUUUGUGUUAGAGGUAGUAUCUCGCAGGUUUAGAACACUAUUUGAGUCUCUUGAAUUGUUCAGCUAUCUUUUUGGGGUUAUUAUAGGGACUGCUAGAUUCUGGGAGUCA